GACGAACGCUGGCGGCGUGCCUAAUACAUGCAAGUCGAGCGGACGGAUGGGAGCUUGCUCCCAGACCGUCAGCGGCGGACGGGUGAGUAACGCGUGGUCAACCUGCCUGUAAGACUGGGAUAACUCCGGGAAACCGGGGCUAAUACCGGAUAACUCUUUCCCUCCCAUGAGGGAAAGCUGAAAUAUGGCAUCUCGCUAUCACUUACAGAUGGUCCCGCGGCGCAUUAGCUAGUUGGUGAGGUAACGGCUCACCAAGGCGACGAUGCGUAGCCGACCUGAGAGGGGGGUAGGCGACACGGGGAGUGAGACAGGGACAAGACGCCUAAGGGAGGCAGCAGUAGGGAAUCGUACGCAAUGGACGAAAGUAUGACGGAGUAACGCCGAGUGAGUGAUGAAGGUGUUCGGAUCGUAAAACUCGGUUGUCAGGGAAGAACAAGUACCGGAGGAACUGAAGGUAGAGUGACGGUACCUGGCCAGAAAGCCACGGCUAACUACGUG
rnacentral:rRNA from 1 species